GUGCAAGCAUAUGAAAUCAUCGAGCGAAAAGUCGCCAAGCUCGCUUUCUUAACGAUCAUCUUCUUCUUAUUGUGACGUCAAAUUUGAAGUCCUUUACCUAAUUAUAUUUCUAGCAGCAGCUCAUAAAUGGCUUGUGACAUUUGAUUGUAGUAGUGAACGUGUAUGUUAUACUGUUACCGGACUCUAUGUUCUCGCUACCGCGCAGGUCCCAAGUUAAAUGAAUAACCCUGUACUACUAGAACAUAUGUACUACUAUGCUAACUAUCAAUAGUCCUGUCCUCGUGUUUAUCCCAACUAAUUCUAUAUACAUAGCAGUUUGUUUUCAAAAUAAAAACGAUUCAUAUAUCGAUUCAUUUCUCAUUUCCUACGCAAGUGUAUGUUUGGAUUGAUUCCGGGUUGGCCGUAAUUCAAUGCGCCCCUCUGCGACCUCAACCUACAUAUCUACCCCAAACUCAACCACUCGAAGAUUUGUGAUUGGGCUCGAACGUGUGCCGACUACAUUGUCACUGGCACGCCAUAAUUAUAAAUUUGUAAUGGAACUUGGCUAUAAUUCAGCACGCCCAACAAAAAGGCUGAGCGAACAUCUGAAUGGCCUUUCACCGGAAAUUCUUUCUUUCUCUCGAUGACUUUUAAUGAUAAAUAGACAAUACGUAACUAGACGUAAGAAUUUUGUUGACCGGGGACAUUAGUGGUACAGCAUCAACACAAAAGCCAUUGGUAUAUACUAUUAUUACCGUUGGAUUACUCAAAUAUGAUCUAUUUUGAGAAUGCCACAAUUUCAGACGCGUAAGUGUUUCAGCUCGAGUGAAGCACUCUCGAAUAUCAUUACUUGCGCUCUUCAGUAUGUAACGAUCGCGUUUGAAAAAGUGACCUCCUACGUUCUUGUUUACCACACAUCGAGAUUUUCAUACAGGACAAAGAAGAGAAAAUAUAUUCGAUUGACACGGAUGUUGACGGCUGUUAUUUUUAAACGUGCCAAAUUAACAUGGAAAAUGAUUGAUAUCGAUAACAUAUUCUCCUUUACUUGUGUUUAAUUAAUACACGGUGAUAAAAUAUACAAAAUAAUUCAGAAAUUGUGAUGUUGAGUUGUAGUGUUGUUGAAGAAUUUGAAAAAAAUGUUUUAAUUGAUUCAACCAAUUAAUUUUGUUUUAUUUUAUUGCUGAUUUGUUAUUCCUUUUAAUGAAAGAGUGCUUCGUUUUUUCUUUCAAUUUAAGAACGAUAUUUACGAUAGGUGUAACGAUAUUUGUAAUUAUUAAAGGUUUGAUCUGGAGAUGAAAAUAUAACGUUCAAUGCGAAUGUUACGUAAUAUUGUUAGACGUGGAGAUUUCAAUAUCAGUUCCUGACUUUCAAAUAAAACUAAGUGCUUAUAUAUAUUAUACAUACGUGUGUAUAUUUCAAGACGGAUUAGCCAGAGAUAGAUGACGUACAUCUUUCAUUAAACGCUAUAAAUAACUAUUGUAAGCCAGAAACAAAUACUAUAUUUUAUCUGCUUCGUAGCCAACAUUUGAUGUGAAUAUGUGACAAAUGGUUAAUUAUAGACUCUAUUUAAUCACUUAUUUAAUUAUUUAAGAAAUUAACAAAAAUUGAUUCAUGAUCUGCUUAACAGUAGGUGUAAAAUCUUUAAAGAAACUUCUCCUAACUAAUCUGUUUUACCAGACCUCAGUCCACUACCUCUUUGAAACAUAAAAAGAAAAAUAUGCAAAUUUAUUAAAAAUUCUAAGGAACACAAUGAAAAUCUCCACAAAUAAUGUUACCAAGAAUUCAAGCAUUAAUCUAAAUGUACAAUCCUCUUGUUUCAAAUUGUUUGAACAUCUGCUUUACAUCUUAAAACCCACGUCAUAAACUACUACCAAUAGGUUCCUAUGUGAUUGUCUAAUGUAUCUAAGUUGUCUAUAAUUAAACAAAAUUUGUCAGAGGUAGUAUUACUAUUUACAGAACGAUGCACCCAACCACUCGCACGAAGAUGUAUACGAAAUAUAACUAAAACUUUGUAGUAUAGUGCAAAUUAAAUUGCAAAUAAAAAUACAACUUGACAUCCAAAGUGACAAUGAGAAAAACAUGCAUACAUAAUCUUUCUUUCUUUGAAAAAGAAGAAAAAGAAAAAAUUCACAAUAAAUAUGUACUUAGUUAUUAGUUAAUCUUAUUAUCCAAAAAUCUAAAAAUCAUUAUUAUUAAAAAAGGAAGAUGUCAUACGUCAUAAAAUAAAAAUCGUUAAUAAUUACAAGUCAACCGUCCAUCUUACGAACCAUUUUAUAUUACUUCCAAUAUUCCAAACAUCAACAGUUUAACAAAUAUAUUAAAAAUAAAAACUUCCCAAAUGACUUACAUAUCAAGGAACGUAUAAAAAAGUCAAAUAUACUAAAAAACAAUCCCCUAUCUAUCAAAAAAGAAAAAGGAAUGUAUUUGAUGCGUAGAGACGCGCGCACGUCGCAUCCAAUUUCAAACAGUAAUCAAUUCCACCAGUGACGAAGUUCGUGUUUUUCCAUAACAUUUAUCACGAGUGUGCCAUGCAAAUCAGGCACGUAACUACCGCAACAAUCGCGAUAAUAUAUGUAUAUUACACAGCGCACGUAACACGCGCAGCGGACACGCGGGAAGCACGUGGCGAAUAUCUUGUGAAUGACUGCGCGCGCGUCUACUUAUGUUGUCACUACGGUUUUUAUCGUAAGCCACCUAAAAGAUGACUGACUCUUAUCGUUAUUUGAGGAUUUCUAGUCGACGAAUAUAUCCAGUCUCAUCGAAGAAUAAGUGCAAUUAACAAGUGUUAAAAAUACCAGUUGACAGUCUUUUAAUCUCGAUUCUGAGCAAUCUGAACCGAGUCGAUAACGGUGUACAUAUUCAUUCCUACAUAAAACCACCACAGUGAAGAAAUAGUGAAGAGAAACGACAAAAAUUCGUGCAAUAUUCCUAUAUUUUACAAUGGAUUAUUUCUUUUCUAUAUUUUACGAACGUGAUUAGAUUAUAUGCCUGAAAAGAAGUUUAUUUUCCUAAGAGGGUGAAACGACUGGGUGGAGAACGACUACUUUUAUCUGCUUGAUUAAUUAUUUCAAUUACUGGUAGUCACGCACGCUUGUCUAUUUUUUGCCCGUUGUUUAUUAACAAAUCAUAUCGUGAUUCAUGCAAAUAACCAGAUAAGAUACUCGACUUAUGUCACUGAAACAAGAUAACGGUUGUCUUUGCAGACUGUCAUGUGUUUUGAAAUAUACAAAGACACAACAAACACCUUCUAUGUAGUCAGUUUCGUACCGUGAAACAGGGGUAUGUUCGUGCGAAUCGGCGUAUAAAAACAAAAAUGACGAUUUAUAAUGUUUGAAACGGUAAAUCACGAAAGCUAUUAAAUUGUCGCGAAAUGAUUUUUCGAUGGUAGAUAGGACGGAAUUGAAACACGAAAGCAGCUCUAUUUUGUAGUACAUUUUUAUUUAUAUGUACUACAUAUACUGCAUUUAAUGUUUGAUGUAAUAACGAAAAAAGAUAGUUAACAUGAUCUAAUAAUAGACGAAACAUUAUAAAACUAUUGGGAAGAAGAAAGAGGCAAUUGCUUCAAUAUUCAAUCGAAUAGUUUGUUCAAAUAUCCCAAAAACUGGAGCCAAAUCCAUAUAAUGAAAUACACUUCGAUUUAUGAAUUUUAUUCCAUUAUUCUGCAUCAUUUCGAAUGAAAUUAACCAAUUUUGCUUCAUCAUUCUGAAUGUUUAUAAAAUCUCUUUCAAGCGUUUAUCAUCGAGUUAAUAAAAAAUUUAUCUUGUUGACUACAUAUGUACACUGGUCCCCCAAUUUACGCGACACUUUUUUUACGGGGUAAGUCACAACACAAUUUACGCGAUAAUUUUUAUGCGGUCAAUCAUAUCAGUGCUGUAUGAGAUAAGGAUAAAAAUACAUUACGUUUUGCUAGUCAUCAUAUGUGUACAUAUUUUUUCUUUAAAAACGAGUAAAACGAAUCCACGCGGAACGGAUACUCCGCGUAAAUUGAGGGACGAGUGUAUAUAUAUGCUCCGAAGAUGACAUUUAUAGAUAUUUUUUACUUUGUAUCGAAGAAAGCAAAAGAAAUUAACGAAGGUUGUUGCAUAUACACGCGACAUAUUUUUAUGGUCACAGAUUUCCGUCGUCACGAAGUCGCAGCAAAUUCGAAAGCUAUCGAAAACAAAGUGAUUCAAUGAGUGGGGAAAAUACAUCGAUCCGGAGAAUAAAAAAGCUCCGCAGGACGUGUUCUUACGAAAAAUUUCGUCAGCGGUUUUGCCCUAUAUAGAAGCGAGCUUUCCGACGUAGAACACUGCGCGUGAUGUGUAAUCGUAUACUAUUUUUUCACCGACCAUAAAUAAACGCUGCAACCGAGAGCAACAUGCAUCGAUUACUAAUUGUAAGUCACAAUUGGUAAUUUUACUUAAGAGAAGUUCAUAAAACAUCCGACGACGUUAUAAAAAGAAACAUAUUACAUAAAAAAAUGAUCUAACGCUGUGGGAAAUUAUAACUAAUCAGAUGAUGAAUGGGAAUCUAUACGAUUGAAUACAUUAGUAUUUUUAGCCCUUUGUAGUCGAUUAUAAUAUAUAUAUUUAAAACAUAUUCUGUUGCGUUAUAAUUUAACUUGAUAAAAAUAUUUCAACGUAGGAAUACUAUUGAUUGAAAUAUGAAAAUUAGAAUUAAACAGUUUCUGAUAACUUAUCGAGUGUAACAGAUGGAAUAGAAUGUCACACUCUACUGAAACUGCAAAGGGCUAACUUGUGACGAUGUAAUCUACUAACCUACAUAUAGUAUUGGGACAUGCGUCGACAGCGAAGGACUUAAUAGUAAUGGUCUAAUCUACUGAUGUCUAUGCACAAGCACUUAUCCGAGCGAACGUUUGGAAUUUUUUCUGUAAUAUUGUCAUAUUUUCGAAAAUACGAUGUGCAAUAAACAUUAUGUUAUAUUACUUUUAAUAUAUCUGUUUAAUAAUUUCACUAUAUUUGAAUAAAAUUUAACUGACAGAAAAUAUAUCAAAUAAAUAACAAUAUAAACACAAAUUGCCUAUAUUGGUUUAUAAUUAAAUGAAUUUAUGUUAUUCAUUUAAUUCAUACUUGGAAUCUUGUACUAACAAUAAGAACAUCUUGUACUUGAGCAAAGUCCAUCAAUGAAAUAAAAGACA